rnacentral:rRNA from 1 species
UACGAAGGGGGCUAGCGUUGCUCGGAAUCACUGGGCGUAAAGCGCACGUAGGCGGAUUGUUAAGUCAGGGGUGAAAUCCUGGAGCUCAACUCCAGAACUGCCUUUGAUACUGGCGAUCUCGAGUCCGGGAGAGGUGAGUGGAACUGCGAGUGUAGAGGUGAAAUUCGUAGAUAUUCGCAAGAACACCAGUGGCGAAGGCGGCUCACUGGCCCGAUACUGACGCUGAGGCACGAAAGCGUGGGGAGCAA